rnacentral:rRNA from 1 species
GUGGGUAGUUUGACUGGGGCGGUCUCCUCCCAAAGAGUAACGGAGGAGCACGAAGGUUAGCUAAUCCUGGUCGGACAUCAGGAGGUUAGUGCAAUGGCAUAAGCUAGCUUGACUGCGAGCGUGACGGCGCGAGCAGGUGCGAAAGCAGGUCAUAGUGAUCCGGUGGUUCUGAAUGGAAGGGCCAUCGCUCAACGGAUAAAAGGUACUCCGGGGAUAACAGGCUGAUACCGCCCAAGAGUUCAUAUCGACGGCGGUGUUUGGCACCUCGAUGUCGGCUCAUCACAUCCUGGGGCUGAAGUAGGUCCCAAGGGUAUGGCUGUUCGCCAUUUAAAGUGGUACGCGAGCUGGGUUUAGAACGUCGUGAGACAGUUCGGUCCCUAUCUGCCGUGGGCGCUGGAGAAUUGAGGGGGGCUGCUCCUAGUACGAGAGGACCGGAGUGGACGCAUCACUGGUGUUCGGGUUGUCAUGCCAAUGGCACUGCCCGGUAGCUAAAUGCGGAAGAGAUAAGUGCUGAAAGCAUCUAAGCACGAAACUUGCCCCGAGAUGAGUUCUCCCUGAGACUUUAAGUCUCCUGAAGGAACGUUGAAGACGACGACGUUGAUAGGCCGGGUGUGUAAGCGCAGCGAUGCGUUGAGCUAACCGGUACUAAUGAACCGUGAGGCUUAACCUU